CUAAGUGUUGGUCAGUUUUGCCUAUAGGCUGAUAGCUCGGCCUCCGUAUGUCGGAAUCGAGUCCCUUAAGUUGUAAUGCGUGCCUAAUACCUACGCGGUGCUAUGUACGUGUUUGCAUAUCGUUACGACGGUCGAGGCUGGUUUUGGCCUCUUGUUCGACUUUUUGCCUAAGUGUUGUUCAGUUUUGCCUACGGGCUGAUAACUCGGCCUCCGUAAGUCAGAAUCAAGACCCAUAAGUUGUAACACAUGCCUAAUACCCACGCGGUUCUAUG
rnacentral:lncRNA from 1 species